rnacentral:rRNA from 1 species
UACGUAGGGUGCGAGCGUUGUCCGGAAUUAUUGGGCGUAAAGAGCUUGUAGGCGGUUUGUCGCGUCUGCCGUGAAAAUCCGGGGCUCAACCCCGAACUUGCGGUGGGUACGGGCAGACUAGAGUGUGGUAGGGGAGACUGGAAUUCCUGGUGUAGCGGUGGAAUGCGCAGAUAUCAGGAGGAACACCGAUGGCGAAGGCAGGUCACUGGGCCGCAACUGACGCUGAGGAGCGAAAGCAUGGGGAGCGAACAGG